rnacentral:rRNA from 1 species
GGGCGCAGCCUGAUGCAGCGACGCCGCGUGGGGGAUGACGGCCUUCGGGUUGUAAACCUCUUUCACCAUCGACGAAGCCGCAAGGUGACGGUAGGUGGAGAAGAAGCACCGGCCAACUACGUGCCAGCAGCCGCGGUAAUACGUAGGGUGCGAGCGUUGUCCGGAAUUACUGGGCGUAAAGAGCUCGUAGGUGGUUUGUCGCGUUGUUCGUGAAAUGCCACAGCUUAACUGUGGGCGUGCGGGCGAUACGGGCAGACUGGAGUACUGCAGGGGAGACUGGAAUUCCUGGUGUAGCGGUGGAAUGCGCAGAUAUCAGGAGGAACACCGGUGGCGAAGGCGGGUCUCUGGGCAGUAACUGACGCUGAGGAGCGAAAGCGUGGGGAGCGAACAGGAUUAGAUACCCUGGUAGUCCACGCCGUAAACGGUGGGUACUAGGUGUGGGUUUCCUUCCUUGGGAUCCGUGCCGUAGCUAACGCAUUAAGUACCCCGCCUGGGGAGUACGGCCGCAAGGCUAAAACUCAAAGGAAUUGACGGGGGCCCGCACAAGCGGCGGAGCAUGUGGAUU